AUGCCAGACAGCUUCUACCUGGCGAAAAACCCAAAUUCACAAAUAUUGUAAACUGGAGAGUCUGAAUAAAUAAAGUUGCUUCUGAGCAUGAAGCUUGGUUUGUUGUAUCUUCGGAUGUUGCGAACUAUUGAGGAUUGUUCUUGGAUUUCCAUUUGGAGAUCUAGGAGGAAGGAAUCUCCGACUGAGUAGU
rnacentral:snoRNA from 1 species